rnacentral:lncRNA from 1 species
UUAUUUUGAGAGAGACAGAGACAGUGCUGGUAGGGGAGGGGCAGAGAGAGAGGGAGACACAGGAUCCCAAGCGGAGUCUGCACUGUCAGUGCAGAGUCAGACGCAGGGUUCAAACUCUCGACCAUGAGAUCAUGACCUGAGCAGAAAUCAAGAGUCAGAUGCUUAAUUCACUAGGCCACCCAGGCACCCUAGGACUCCACCUUUUCUUCAGGAAAUCUCUCUCUUCCAGGGCUUCUCCCUGUGACUCUUGGCCAGACUCGUCUCACGGGCCCACCUGUAGCUGCAGGACAGGCUGGGAAUCAAUGUUCCAGAGGAGAAACACGGGACAGAGGAGAGGGAAUGAGCAGCCUCAGACCCUGCUGUCCAGGAACACUGCAUCUUCUGGGAAGGCCCAAAGCCAACGUAGCUGGAUGGUGUUCUUCUCUGCCCUUUGUCACGUCUGGAUUGCUUGUGUGGGGUGACCAGUUGGCCCAGACACGUCCCCAGUGACGGUGAGCAGAAAGCCGGGUGGACCCACGACCUUUAGGCAACCCUCCCUCCCCACUUCGCCCCCAGUGCAGGGCUUGGGGAGGGUUUCAAAGCCACUCGGGGUCUGAGUUCCUGAGUCGUCUCUGUGCCUCCCAGGGACCCCCACUCCCUGCAGGGCCAGCCCCUCCGCCUGCUCAGAGCUCCGUUUGGGGGGCAGUGGUGUUUCUCAGGUAUUGAGGCCUGUCUGAAUCCCCUGCUCCCAUUCUGGGAGCAGGAAUCCCAGCGGCAUCCUUAUAGAUCGGGGUGGGAGCCCUGGGGUCUGAGAGGUCUGUGGGCUCUGGGCCGGCGACGGCAGGACCGCUCAGGACCCCACGGAGGGAGGCAUCGGGGCAUGGAGGGCCUCCAGGGGGCCUGGGAACGCACACGGCUGCCAGCUCCCCUGGAUGCCGUGUCUGCACCGGCUCUGGGCACAGAACAUCCGAAAAAGGCCCUUAGAACUUAUGGUGUGACGUGAAGACACAUAGCACAUCAGUGCGGGCCCACACUGAAGAGGAAGAAUAACACACAGAGCCACGGCCACCAGGUCAAGAAAUCGGGUUUCCAGUUCCUUGGGACCUGGGCGCUGCUCCCUACGGCUUCCCGUCCCUCCCCCAGAAGUGAGCACAGAUCGCAGACCACGGAGGACACGGGGAGAGCGUACCGUCCACUCGCCCAGCAGAGGCCCCUCAGGGAGGCCUGCAUCUCGGGCUUCAGCCCCUGGGACGGUGAGGAGUAAACUCACG